UACGUAGGGUGCGAGCGUUGUCCGGAAUUAUUGGGCGUAAAGAGCUCGUAGGCGGUCUGUUGCGUCGGCUGUGAAAACCCGGGGCUCAACUCCGGGCCUGCAGCCGAUACGGGCAGACUAGAGUUCGGCAGGGGAGACUGGAAUUCCUGGUGUAGCGGUGAAAUGCGCAGAUAUCAGGAGGAACACCGGUGGCGAAGGCGGGUCUCUGGGCCGUAACUGACGCUGAGGAGCGAAAGCGUGGGGAGCGAACAGG
rnacentral:rRNA from 1 species